rnacentral:rRNA from 1 species
GCCGCCGCGGUAAUACGAAGGGUGCAAGCGUUACUCGGAAUUACUGGGCGUAAAGCGUGCGUAGGUGGUGGUUUAAGUCCGUUGUGAAAGCCCUGGGCUCAACCUGGGAAUUGCAGUGGAUACUGGGUCACUAGAGUGUGGUAGAGGAUAGUGGAAUUUCCGGUGUAGCAGUGAAAUGCGUAGAGAUCGGAAGGAACAUCUGUGGCGAAGGCGACUAUCUGGGCCAACACUGACACUGAGGCACGAAAGCGUGGGGAGCAAACAGGAUUAGAUACCCGCGUAGUCCCUGUCUCUUAUACAA